AACGAACGCUGGCGGCAGGCCUAACACAUGCAAGUCGAGCGCCCCGCAAGGGGAGCGGCGGACGGGUGAGUAACGCGUGGGAACGUGCCCUUUGCUACGGAAUAGCCUCGGGAAACUGGGAGUAAUACCGUAUGUGCCCUUCGGGGGAAAGAUUUAUCGGCAAAGGAUCGGCCCGCGUUGGAUUAGGUAGUUGGUGGGGUAAUGGCCUACCAAGCCGACGAUCCAUAGCUGGUUUGAGAGGAUGAUCAGCCACACUGGGACUGAGACACGGCCCAGACUCCUACGGGAGGCAGCAGUGGGGAAUCUUAGACAAUGGGCGCAAGCCUGAUCUAGCCAUGCCGCGUGAGCGAUGAAGGCCUUAGGGUUGUAAAGCUCUUUCAGUGGGGAAGAUAAUGACUGUACCCACAGAAGAAGCCCCGGCUAACUCCGUGCCAGCAGCCGCCGUAAUAC
rnacentral:rRNA from 1 species